rnacentral:rRNA from 1 species
UGUCCCUACGGGGGGCAGCAGUAGGGAAUCUUCCACAAUGGGCGAAAGCCUGAUGGAGCAACGCCGCGUGGGUGAAGAAGGUCUUCGGAUCGUAAAACCCUGUUGUUAGAGAAGAAAGUGCGUGAGAGUAACUGUUCACGUUUCGACGGUAUCUAACAAGAAAGCCACGGCUAACUACGUGCCAGCAGCCGCGGUAAUACGUAGGUGGCAAGCGUUAUCCGGAUUUAUUGGGCGUAAAGGGAACGCAGGCGGUCUUUUAAGUCUGAUGUGAAAGGCAAGGGCUCA